AUUGAACGCUGGCGGCAGGCCUAACACAUGCAAGUCGAGCGGAGCGGCGGACGGGGGAGGAAUGCCUAGGAAUCGGCCUGGUAGUGGGGGCUAACGUCCGGAAACGGGCGCUAAUACCGCAUACUCUCAGAUGAGCCUAGGCCGGAUUAGCUAGGUGGGGGGGUAAAGGCCUACGAAGGCGACGAUCCGUAACUGGUCUGAGAGGAUGAGCAGUCACACUGGAACUGAGACACGGUCCAGACUCCUACGGGAGGCAGCAGUGGGGAAUAUUGGACAAUGGGCGAAAGCCUGCUCCAGCCAUGCCGCGUGUGUGAAGAAGGUCUUCGGGUUGUAAAGCACUUUCAGUUGGGAGGCGUUACCCACAGAAUAAGCACCGGCUAACUCCGUGCCAGCAGCCGCGGUAAUAC
rnacentral:rRNA from 1 species